rnacentral:misc_RNA from 1 species
AACUUUCGGCAAUGGAUCACUUGGCUCUGGCAUCGAUGAAGAACGCAGCGAAAUGCGAUACGUAGUGUGAAUUGCAGAAUUCAGUGAACCAUCGAAUCUUUGAACGCACCUUGCGGCCGCCGGUAAUCCGGCGGCCAUGCCCGUCCGAGCGUCGUUUCGACCCUCGGGGCCCCUCCUUGCCUGCAGGGCGGGGGCCCCGGCAUUGGGCCAGCGCGUGUCGCCCACUGGGGCGCCGCGCGGCCCGCAGUCCAGCGGCGGCAGCACCGGCGACGUCCCCUGCGCAGUAACUUACGCUCGCAUUGGUCUCCCGGCGCGGCCCGCCUCGAAACCCCCACAUCUUUAGGUCGACCUCGGAUCGGGUAGGGAUACCCGCUAAACUUAAGCAUAUCAAUAAGCGGAGGCU